CAGCCUCAAAUGUCACGUGACUCGUGGUUUAUCAUGACCUCAUGAGACACACAGUGAGCUAAUCAGUCAAUAAAUUGGCUGUGAGAAGUCGGAAGACUGCCUGAUUUAAAGACUCGUCUGCUCGUCUGAACAAAGCCAUUAUGUUCCAACGGAAGAAAAGGAUACAGCCUGCUGACGAUGUAGCAUCCUACAUUCUGUCUUCAAAAGACAAGCCGUGGUUUAUGGAACAAUUCAUCAGUAGUUACAAAGAACAACAGCUAUUUGUUCAUGGUGAGCAAGGACAAGGGAACAAAAAACCUUUAACAACUGAAGAUGAAGUCCUCGACAUCAUUUGGCACUAUCAUAGUGACACUGUUGGAGGUCACAGUUGCAUAAAUGCAACACUGGCCAAGAUAAGUCAUCUGUACACAUGGAAUGUCUUGAAGGAGGAUGUGAAAGACUUUGUCAGGACAUGUUAUGAAAUAAAUUUGAAUAUAUUAUUUAUUAUUAUAUAUGUUUAUAUUAUAAGAAACUACAAUGAUGAUGCUGAGAAACUUAUCCCUGAUCCAUGUAAAGUGUACUUGAAACCAAAAAUAUAUAAAUUGUAUAUUUUUCAGGUUAUGUCAUGUGAUCAGUGUCAGCGGUUUUCCAAAUUAAAGACUCAAGCUCCACACCCUUUAGAACUGGUGGGGAUGGACAUAAUUGGCAAUUUGAGUUUUUUAUUAUUGGUAUUGAAAACUUUUUAGGUGGGGCCAUUCUCAGAUUAAUUACUGGUCAUCUUUCAAAUUAUUUAAUUUGUGACGGUCUGAGCGCUCCCCCGCGUUGAAAAUCAUAGUUCAUAGUUGUCACGAACGAGGCUCGAGGGCGGACCCAAAUCCACGACUCCAGAGGCAAGCAGGUAGUGUACAGAAAGCCUUUAUUCGGUCCGUGGUCAAUGAUCAGUGAGUCAGUCAGGAAAAACAGCAGUAUCAGAAGAGACAGGCUUACUAGGAUGGUCAGGGAACAGGCGAGGGUCGGUACACAGUAGGUCAGGUAUACGGGAGUGCGGGAACGAGGCAUGAGAAUCAACGAUCUGGCGGAGGACCAGUUGUUAAAAUAAUCAUCCAUAUGUUCUCAUUUUGUUCAAACUGUAGUUGGUUACACAUCACCACCAAUCUUGUACCUUUGAACUCACUGUCUUGAUGUAAUCAAUCUAACUUGAUGUAAUCAAUCUAACAGAUGCAAACAAUCAAACAGCCUCAUCAUGUGAUUCACUGAAUAAAAGGAAGCUGCAAGGAGACACAAGUUGGAGUUGGUUGGAAGCAGGGAAGUCCUGUCGCUCCCCUUGCAGCAACUAAAACUUAAAGCCUUGUCUGUUCGCCUUCUUUUAAAAGAGAGUCAACCUUUUAAACCUGACAUCUUGGUCCUUCGAGCCGGAUCCCAACACACCACCGCCCAUCGAGGAGGGAGAAGACACACCGAAGUCUGUCGACAGCCAGGAGCAUUUUAGCUGUUCCUGAAGAAAAGCCCUGGUGGGACGUGAAUUCGUGACGGGAUCACGAACAACUGGCGUCCAGACAACGCGUGAACCGGUGCCGUUGGUGUCCAUUGGUGAUUGGGUCCUGAGAAAAAUCAUCAAGAGGAAGUGUUGGUCCUCACCUCGCUAGGAUGGUCCACUCGUGAUAAAGAUAGCAGAACGUCCCACAUGGAUACAUUUGUCCCACUGCAAGCCUGUGGCUCCCUUUUCAUUCAACGACGAGUAGCGGUGGAAGUCCGGCUACAAAGGGUGGGGUAGCAAUAGGCUGCCCUGGUCUCAAACCGGUGAAGAAUUCAGCUGAUCCGUCCUUGAGCAUGUUAGGUAAAUGAGACCCACUAUUGGGACUGCUGGCCUUCGUGCUGUUCGGACCAUGGCUCCUCCGCACUGGCCAGUCUGGGACUGUACGUGUUUAUCACUGGAUCGAUGGACAUGAAUCAUCAUGGAGCAAGGACAAUCCCACCUCUCCAAUGGACGCCAACACCUGGUACUCUUAUGUGAAUAUGGUGUUCUUCCGUGGACAACCAAUGACAGAUCAACAAGUGUGGUGAAGCUGGAGCUACUCAGAUGCUCCGUCAUGAAAAGAAGUGUGCAGCAGCGACGAGUCCGACAAUGCCAGCAAUUCCACCUACUGGUCCCAGACUUCAUGCCAGGCCAGGAGAGGAUGCAGAGAGAAACCAUCUGAGGUCUUCAGGACGGACCUGAUCACCACCAUGAAGGUGCAUGACUCGUACCGGCUCAACGCAGAGGACUACUACGUCCUGGCCGAUGCAUAGAAGCAGAAGCGAGAAAAAGGGUAUCCACGUGCCCAUUAGCCCGCAGUCCAUCCCGGAGCCCGUGGUGCUAACUGACAAAAGCAAAGAUGUCAUGUUCAUCAGCCCCAAGAAGCUGAUCCGCACAUCUGCCACCCUGGUCCUCAGUUAUGUGGACGUCAGGACUUUGGCGGAGGGCGUGUGUCACUACGACCUCAACGAGGAAGAUAUCACCUGGCUGCAGGUCAUCGACGAGGAGUUUGCAAGGUUUCCCUUCUUCCACUGGAUGAAUUCGCCAUAGAGUGCUGAGCACCGUUGUCAUAACAACAUGACACACACUACCGAGACACAGUAGGGCCUUGGUAUCGAGUACAAUGAGAAUGUGGUGUGCGACAUGCCAGUUCCCCAACGGAGAGGACGACAACGAGAUGGUGUUCUGCAACAAGUGGAAUAUCUGCGUCCACCAGGUAUCCUGCCAAAGUGCCAGUUGUGCCCGAAAACGGGCGAUGCUAUGAAGCCCACCCGCAGUGGAACCAAGUGGGUCCAUGUCAGCUGUGCCUUGUGGAUCCCAAAGAUGAGCAAUGGGAACCUGGAGAAGAUGGAGCACGUCACCAGCGUGUCGCACACUUCCAGCAACAGCCUCCACUCCGGCCUGGAGAAACCAUCAUCACUCAGAACGACAAAGUCAAGGUCAAGUACUACUGGCCCAAGCACUCUGUGGAGCGGGACUCCACCACUGAAGUUGAAAAUGAGGAAAGCGUCGGGAGCAAGACGGGCAAAUUGAGAGGAAAUGUUGGAAGGGACAAUAAAGAGGACAUGGCCGCCCUCUGCCUCGUCCCUUUCGCCUCAUCGUCCUUGUGUCUUGUUUGUAAAUGUGACCCGCAGGAAAAGCGUUGUCAAUGUCAGCAAGAUGAAAUUGCAAGAGAUGGAGGAGGUCUUCAGUUUGUGGACGCUGAGGAAGUGGGCCGUCACCUCAAUAUGACACCCAAGACAGUUGCCUUCCUGUACCAGUACUAGAAGCUGAAGCACAACGCGAACUUCAACCAGCUGCUGCUCAUGCCUAAGAAGGACGAGGACACCCUGGCCAGACGUGAACACGAGGUGUUGCUGAGAUGACUGCAGCUAUUCAAGCAACUCAGCCAAGACCUGGAGAGGGUGUGCAACCUGACUUGCAUGGUGAUGAAGAUGUAAAGACUGUUGUUUGUAAAAAUACGAGCGAUGGAGUGCAGGACAAUGGCCUGACUUUAAAUGGACAAGGACUCUGCACUGUCACCAGCAGAGCUGAAGAAUCUCUUCUGUGUUUGCCCUUAUAUGCCAUGGGGUGCAAAAGUCUGCAUGACUGUCCCAAUCACCAUCGAGAGUUACAUCUCUAAUCACGGCUUCCACUGUCAGUGGAGGCUGUGUGUUUAUCUCGACAUCAACCAUUGCCUUUCUCCUUACAUGUUUCGCGACUCCAGUACCAAGAAUAUCUACACUAGACUUCGUUGGGCUGCUGUGUACCAGCACUUGAUGGGUUCAGAAAUGAGCAACGAUGUUCACCCACUGUUUAUUUAUUAUUAUUAUUGUUAUUUUUAUUAUUAUUACUAUUGGUCCUGGUUCACCUACGGACCUGGUAUUUUGUUAUGAUGAAGUUUGUUGUAUCCGUAA